rnacentral:lncRNA from 1 species
AGCAAACUCAGAUCAGUGAAAACCAUCAUUAGAAGAACAGGAAAGGAACAGACACGUUACAGGAUGGCCACAGUCUUUAAUAGCAUAAGAGGUGGGAAACGGACGAGGGAGGAUGGGCGGGGAUCGGGCGUAUGCAGGAUGCUGGUGGAGAGGAUCCAAACGGGAGGGGGCACAGCAUGUAUGGGUGUUGCCGGGGGGGCCUUGGGGCAAGGAUUGGACGAGCAUAGGAAGGACGUGGAGAAGGGUAGCACCAGUACAGCGCUCGCGGCGGAGGCCUAUGAUAAGGAGGUUGAGGUGCACUGAGACAGAGCCAAGGUGGUGGAACCACUGGUGGGGGGGUCGCGGACCAUGUUGGCAGAGGCUCUGGAAAUUUUGAAGGAGAG